rnacentral:rRNA from 1 species
UACGUAGGGACCGAGCGUUGUCCGGAAUCAUUGGGCGUAAAGAGCUCGUAGGCGGUCUGUCGCGUCGGCUGUGAAAACUCGGGGCUCAACCCCGAGCCUGCAGUCGAUACGGGCAGACUAGAGUGCUGUAGGGGAGACUGGAAUUCCUGGUGUAGCGGUGAAAUGCGCAGAUAUCAGGAGGAACACCGGUGGCGAAGGCGGGUCUCUGGGCAGUAACUGACGCUGAGGAGCGAAAGCGUGGGGAGCGAACAGG